AUUUACCGUUCUGCUUCAGGUGUCCUAAGGGUUUCCACCCAAGGGAUUAAACGGGAAGUCGGUGCGUUCUUGACAUAGUCAGCCGAAGAACAAUUCCGGCGCUGCCCCCGCAACGGUAAGCGAGUUAUCGCGGAUCACACAGCCACUGCGUUUCGACGUGGGAAGGCGAUCCGUCAGGUCUUCAAGACCACUCGCGAGCCCGGAGACCGGCCUGAAGCCGUUGGUUGGUA
rnacentral:ncRNA from 1 species